AGCGGACGUUUGCGGCGGGCUUAACACAUGCAAGUCGAACGAGAAUCCCUUCGGGGAGGAAAGUGGCGCACGGGUGCGUAACACGUGGAUAACCAACCCAUUGGUUUGGGACAACACCGGGAAACUGGUGCUAAUACCAGAUGUGUCGCAGCUGUCUUCAGGCGGUUGCGAGAAAGGCCCGCAAGGGUCGCCAACGGACGGGUCCGCGUCCCAUCAGCUAGUUGGUGAGGUAAUGGCUCACCAAGGCAAAGACGGGUAGCUGGUCUGAGAGGAUGAUCAGCCACACUGGAACUGAGACACGGUCCAGACUCCUACGGGAGGCAGCAGUGGGGAAUAUUGCGCAAUGGGCGAAAGCCUGACGCAGCCACGCCGCGUGAGCGAUGAAGGUCUUCGGAUCGUAAAGCUCUGUGGGGGGAGAAGAAGAAAGCCGGUGAAGAGCCGGCCCUGACGGUAUCCCCUUAGCAAGCACCGGCUAACUCCGUGCCAGCAGCCGCGGU
rnacentral:rRNA from 1 species